rnacentral:rRNA from 1 species
CGCGUAGGCGGGAUGGCAAGUCGGUCGUGAAAUCCCUCGGCUCAACCGAGAACGUCGAUCGAUACUGCUGUUCUUGAGGAUUGCAGAGGAGACUGGAAUUCCCGGUGUAGCGGUGAAAUGUGUAGAGAUCGGGAGGAACACCGGUGGCGAAGGCGGGUCUCUGGGCAAUUCCUGACGCUGAGGCGCGAAAGCGUGGGAGCAAACG